UCUGGUUGAUCCUGCCAGUAGUCAUAUGCUUGUCUCAAAGAUUAAGCCAUGCAUGUCUAAGUAUAAAUAGUAUACAGUGAAACUGCGAAUGGCUCAUUAAAACAGUUAUAGUUUAUUUGAUAAUCGACAAUUACAUGGAUAACCGUGGUAAUUCUAGAGCUAAUACAUGCUUAAACGCCCGACUUUAUGGAAGGGUGGUAUUUAUUAGACUGAAGCCAAUAUUCCUUGUGUCUAUUGCGGUGAUUCAUAAUAACUGAUCGAAUCUCUUUUUGAGAUAAAUCAUUCAAGUUUCUGCCCUAUCAGCUUUCGAUGGUAGUGUAUUGGACUACCAUGGCAGUAACGGGUAACGAAGAAUUAGGGUUCGAUUUCGGAGAGGGAGCAUGAGAAACGGCUACCACAUCUAAGGAAGGCAGCAGGCGCGUAAAUUACCCAAUCCUGACUCAGGGAGGUAGUGACAAGAAAUAGCAAACCGGGAACCUCAUGGUUUCACGGUAUUGCAAUGAGAACAAUUUAAAACCAUUAGCGAGAAUCAAGUGGAGGACAAGUCUGGUGCCAGCACCCGCGGUAAUUCCAGCUCCACUAGCGUAUAUUAAAGUUGUUGCAGUUAAAAAGCUCGUAGUUGAACCUCUGUCUGGGGCUAGUUUUGGCUUUGGUCAGGCUAGUUCUAGGCAUCCGCCUACAAGACUUAGAGGGCAUUCAGUUGUUCACUAGGAGGAGUAGGCAUUUUACUUUGAAAAAAUUAGAGUGUUUAAGGCAGGCAAUCGCCCGCAUAUAUUAGCAUGGAAUAAUAGAAUAGGACACUUUUCCAUUUCGUUGGUUAUUGGAAUCGUGUAAUGAUUAAUAGGGACAGUUGCGGGCAUUUGUAUUUAAUUGUCAGAGGUGAAAUUCUUGGAUUUAUUAAAGACAAACUAACGCGAAAGCAUUUGCCAAGGAUGUUUUCAUUAAUCAAGAACGAAAGUUAGGGGAUCAAAGACGAUCAGAUACCGUCCUAGUCUUAACUAUAAACUAUUCCGACUCAAUGUUUGACUGGCUUAUAUAACCAGUUGAGCGUUGUAUGAGAAAUCAAAGUCUUUAGGUUCUGGGGGGAGUAUGGUUGCAAAGCUGAAACUUAAAGGAAUUGACGGAAGAGCACAACCAGGAGUGGAUUCUGCGGCUUAAUUCGACUCAACACGGGGAAACUUACCAGGUUAAAACAAUAGUGGGAUUGACAGUUUGAGAGCGCUUUCUUGAUUGGUUGGGUGGUGGUGCAUGGCCGUUCUUAGUUGGUGGAGUGAUUUGUCUGCUUAAUUGCGUUAGCGAACGAGACAG
rnacentral:rRNA from 1 species